rnacentral:tRNA from 1 species
UUCCACCGGCGGCCGGACGCCGCCCGGGUCGCCGUCGCCGACCUCGGCGCGCGGUUCGGCGCCGCGGGCGGGCG